GGCACGCACGCGCUGGGAAAAUGUGGGAAAGGCUGCGGGAGGGCCGCGCCUGCGCAGUAGCGGGCCGUCGGUUGGGCGCAGACAGGCCGCAGAAGAUGGAGAGAUGGAGCCACCCCAAGAGACAAAUAGGCCUUUCAGCACACUUGAUAACCGCAGCGGGCAGGUCCAAGUCCUGCCCCCCACCCCGCUAUUGCAGAGGAAUCCCUACAGCAGCCCGGAUAUCAUGCACAUUAAAGGGUCGGAGGCUUCUUCGGUCCCUUACGCCCUGAACGAGGGCACGACGGCCCUGCCUAAGAACAAGAACCAGAAGGGCACCGGGCAAAGGCUGCUGAACAUGCUGAGAAAAACUCUUAAAGGGUCUGAUAGUGAAGAACUGGAAAUAACACAGGAGACACCAAAUUUGGUGCCAUUUGGGGAUGUGGUUGGCUGCCUGGGCAUUCAUAUAAAGAACUGCAGACAUUUUAUGCCUAAGAUCAGUUUACAACAUUAUGCUAAUUUAUUCAUUCGCAUCUCUAUAAACAAAGCUGUGAAAUGUACAAAAAUGUGUAGCUUGCUAUCCAAAAACGAUGAGAAGAACACUGUAAUUAAGUUCGAUGAAGUGAAGUAUUUUUCUGUACAGGUUCCCAGACGUUAUGAUGAUGAGCGGAAUAAUAUUUUAUUGGAACUCAUACAAUAUGACAAUAGAGAAAAACGUGCUUUCUUGUUAGGGAAUGUUCAGAUACAUCUUUAUGAGGUAAUUCAGAAAGGGUGCUUCAUUGAAGAGGUCCAAGUGUUGCAUGGAAACAUAUUUGUCUGCAGGCUGGAGGUGGAAUUUAUGUUCUCCUAUGGAAACUUUGGUUAUGGAUUUUCACAUCAGUUAAAACCCCUUCAGAAAAUUACUGAACCAUCCAUGUUUAUGAAUCUUGCACCACCUCCAGAGAGAACAGAUCCCGUGACAAAAGUUAUUACACCACAGACAGUAGAAUAUCCAGCAUUCUUAUCCCCAGACCUGAAUGUUACUGUUGGGACUCCAGCUGUGCAAUCCUCCAACCAGCCAUCUGUAGUGCGACUUGAAAAACUUCAGCAACAACCCCGGGAAAGGUUAAGAAAUACACCACCAGUAAUAUCAGAAAUACAUUUUGUGCACCCUUCUGAGGUUACAUCCCUCUCCUUAACCAUCCCCAGGCUGGAAAAGAUGAAAAAAGAAUAUAGAAAUCUGAAUACAUGGAUAGAUAAAGCUAACUAUUUAGAAAGCAUUCUAAUGCCAAAAUUGGAACAUAAGGAUUCUGAGGAAACUAAUAUAGAUGAGGCAUCUGAAAACACGAAAAGUAAUCAACCUGAAGAGGAGCUUGAAAAUAUUGUAGGAGUAGCAGAUAUCCCUCUUGUAAAUGAGGAAGCUGAAACUACCGCAAAUGAGUUACUGGAUAUUGAUUCUGAGAAAGGCCUGACUAUACCAACUUUGAACCAAUCGGACCAAGAUAAUUCAACUGCUGAUGCUUCUAAAAAUGAUGAAUCAACACCUUCACCCACAGAAGUGCACUCAUUGUGCACUAUUUCUAACCAGGAAACAAUAAAAGCAGGCAGAAUACCACCUUUAGGUGAACGUCAAUCAGAAAGCAUGCCAGACAGAAAAAUGAAAAAUGUAUUUUUUCCAUUAGAAGUAAAAUUAAAAGAUAACUAUCCAAGCAUUUUAAAAGCAGACUCAUCUCUAUCAGAGGUGGCUUUUUCACCAAAAGAAUAUAAUUCACCAUCUUUCAGACCAGAAUAUAUAGAAUUCAAACCAAAAUUUCAGUUUCAGAAAUUCAACAAGAACGGUUUUGAUCCUUUUCUAAGGAAUAUAAACAAAAUGUCAGUCAGAAAAAGAAAAGAUCAAGAUAUAUACAAAUAUAGAAACAUCUUAGGUGCAGAGGUCAUAGAGCAUGAAGACCAGGAUCCUCCUUAUCCAGCACAAUCAAAAACUGCAGGACCUGCUAAUAAAACCUGGGCCCAUGACCCUAAUAUCUUCACAACAAAGAUGUUAGAAACUGAGAAUAAGUUAGCCCCUGAUCCUACUAUCAAUACAAUAAAGGGUUUAGAUACAAAGAAUAGUUUAAAAGAAAAUCUACCAAAUGUAUCUUUACCAAGCUUCAAAGGAGAAUCAUCAAGGGCUGGAAAUGUACAGGCAAACACAUGUCACCUCUCGAAGUCUUUAAAUUUUACCCCCCAUAUAGAAUAUUUAAAACAGUCAAUGAUACUCAAGUCAAUUUUAAGUAAAAAUCUGCAAGACCUUUCAGACAAAUUAUUUUCUAAACCAGAAGUUAGUAUGAACAGUGAAGCAAGAGAGAAAAGUAGUUCUCCACUUCUAAGCAUUCAUGAUAAAUCAUCAAGUAGUAUGGAAGACAACUUAUUGGAAAAAAAACAAGAUUUAAACAACUGGCUUUCAGAAAAAGACAUUUUAAAUUCAAAGGCUACUUUAAGUCAAAUAAUUAAAAAUAUUCCUGCAGAUUCAUUUUCAGAAGGUAGUCAAAUAAUUGAAAAUAUUCCUGCAGAUUCACUUUUAGAAGGUGGUCAAGUAAUUAAAAAUAUUCCUGAAUAUUCAAUUUCAGAAGGGGGUCAGAUAAUUAAAAAUAUUCCUGCAGAUUCAUUUUUAGAAAGUGGACCAGGACAAUCUCCAGAGGUAGAAGAACAUGUCUCUAAAAAACACUUCGAAGCUGAUGAGAGAGAUUUUCCAAUUAAAAAAAAUAGUAGUAUCAAAAAGAAACAUUUAAUAAGUGAAGUACCUAACUCCAAAUCAGGUUCAAGUGGCACUGUACAUGACUACAUUAUGAGGCAAAUAUUCACUGCACCAAUAUUCUCAGAAUUGGAGAUAGAAGUGAAAGAGCCAAGUGAGACACCAAUGAACUUGGAAAAUCAAUUACCUACACCUUGGAAGAGAAGUUUGUCAUCACAUAUUCUAUUUCAUGAAGAAAAUGCUGAUGAAAUAGAAUUGCCACAGCCCAGAUCUGCUAUAAGCCAGAUAAUACAAGCAUUUCCUAUAGAUACGCUUUUAGAAUCUGGGAUAAUCAAAGUGAUAGAAUUAGAUAAAGAAUGCCAUAAGAGUUCUUUGCUGGGUACGGGGAUCACUUCUCCUAAAGGAAACCUAAAGGAUUCCCAAGAGUAUUAUUCAGAAAUCAGAAGUGAGACAGAACCUCUUUCUGAGCAGAAUAUACCCAUCAUUCCCAAAGACACUACUUCUGUUAGUAGAGCUGAAUUUAUACAGGAAGACCAAAAUAUGUUCCCACAAGAUUCAAGUUAUUAUUCAAUAGCAAAUAAAGAACUGUAUUUGCCAAGAAAUGGUCAGAGGGUUGGUAAGGACAAAAAUGAUCUCAGUUCUACUUUAGAAAGUUUAACUAACUCAUUAAUGGAUAAACUUAGUGAAUCAGAUGAAAUAAUGUUAAAAUCCUUUUUAAAAAACAUCUUCAAUGUUUUUUUCAAAUAUAAUCAUUCUGAAAGAAGAGGACAGCCAGAAAAAGAAUUAGAAAGACUAAUUCAACCUUCUUUUACAAGUGACAGAGAACACCUUGAAGAACUCCAAGAGGAUUUUGAUAAAGCAGAAAAAUUAGACAGAAAACCUAUUUUGAGUCCAAAGUUGCGUGUGUUUCUAGAAGAACUCUCAGAGUCAGAAGUAAAACAUUUAAAAUCUGAAUUAAGUAAACAAAUCCAGCAUUACCUUGUAGAAAGACUUUCAGAAUCAGGACAUAUCACCAAGGAGGACUUACCAAAAAUCUAUCAAAAUCUGUAUCUGAUGAAUGAGAAAGCAGAGCGGAAAGGGCCAAACAGUUUUCAGGGGAAAUAUUCUGAAACUGUGAAAGAAAUCAUGUCUUUUGUCAACAGUUUCAACCAUCAUUUCAUAGAUAAACAUUUAGAAAUAAAACUAAGAUCUUUUUUAAAAGAGAUUCUCCAAAACUAUUUCCUAAAAAACAUUUCAGAAAGCAGUUUAUUUAAUGAGACAGCAUCUGAGACUAUAUACCCAAACAUAUCUUCUCUAAGGACUAAAAGUGUCUCAAUAUCUUUUCAUGAACUAGAACAAGAUAUUUCAAAGGGGAGUUUUGGUAGAAGGUUUGAAAUAAACAUGAAAUAUCCUUUAAGUAAAUCUCUACAAAACUAUCUGAUAGCUUUAUCAGAAAAUGAAUUAUUACAUCUAAAAGCUGAUUUAAGCAAACACCUCCAGAGUCUUUUUAUAGAAAAACUUUCAAAAUCAGGACUAAUGACAAAAAAGCAAUUAGAAGGGAUCAACCAACAUAUAAAUUUGCUUAAUUCUAGUUCUAUACCAUUAAAAUAUAUAAAAACACAUUUACCUUUUAGAGAUGACUGUCACUUUGUGGAGAAGCAUUCAGAAAAGCAAAAUAAAUAUUCAAGAAUUGUUCAACAAACCACUUUACAAACGGUUUCUGAGGAUAAACUUAGAGAAGCAGAAUUGAUUCGAGAGAAAGAAAAGAAAUAUUUUCCCUUACAGAAUUUAAAGGGAAAUUCAUCUUUAAUUAAGGAACAGAAAAGUUAUCACACUAAGGAAGAAGCUAAAACACCAAGUUUAAUCAAAGUACAACCUUCUUCCAAUGAAAAUAUCCAGGCAAGUCCAUUAAGUAAGUCAUCAGAAAUACUUACAGAUAUACUGCUUAAGAAACUAAGGAAAGAACAUGUAUUCACGCAGCUUCCUCAAGCAGAAAAUUCUGUUCAUAAAACAGAGAUUCAAGACCCAUAUAGUUGGGGUGGUAAAUCAAAAAUAAUUCAAUCAAAAGCUUGGUGUGAAAAGACACUGAAAAUGAAGUCCCUUGAUAGAAAGGAGCACGUAAACAGCUAUAAAUGGACUGUUCAGGAAAAACCUGAAGCAGUAUUAACAUUGUGUCCAAGAAUUCCUAAUGCCAGAAUGCCAAGGGAAGAUGAGUACUUAAACAGAAUCACUUUCCCUUCCUGGCAAAGUAGCACUUUAACUCAUUUCAAUACAGAGACUGGGGAAAAAUCAAAAUUAGAAGACCAGUAUUGUCAGAGAUUGAAAGGAAAUAAUAACAAUAAUAAAAAGCAUUUAGUAACAUUUGCACAAUACAAAAAAGAAAUACAAACUCUUUAUAUAAAACCAGAUGAAAUUUGCAGUGAAAAAUGUGCCAAGUUCCCUGAAAUACAGUCAUUCCAACAUAAGGUUGUAGAAGAUGAGAAAAACUCGAAACCAUACCUCUUCCCAGAAUUAUUUAAGAGAGAAGAUCUAAAACCCAAGGUCCGAAAAGAAAGAGACCGUGUCGCCCAACCAAAAAAGUCAUUUAACAAGAUAGUCAGGAUACUACCAACCACACUGCCCACCACAAGAAUUCACCUAAAGAAGUCUGUUCCAAGGACACUGCUUCACUGGACUGCAAGAAGAACUAUACAUUAUUGAGAGGGUGAGUGUAAAUACACACGUGUCUACACACUUGGAAAAAAGGUAGAAGAUGGGGUGAUAGUCUUCAAAGAAGAUUUUCUGAAUUUUUUAAGACAAAUGGAAUCUUUAAUACAACUUUUCAAGCAAAGAAUCUCCCAAAGGAAUCAAGACAGAAGAGAGAGAAACUGAGUCGUAGGAGCACCUAGAAAAGUGACCAGUGGCCUGGGUCUCCAUGCCCUUCCACUGCCACUCCAGUAAUCAAGUUAUAUCAGCUGUGAAGGAAAAUUAUGUGUUACUCACUAACAUAGCAUAAAUUAUCUCAUUGUGGCUUCCCUAAUUGUCUUGUGUACAUAAGAGGGAAGAGGAAGAAUGUUUUCUUGCCUUCUCCAAACUCAGGCAGAAAUGUUAAAUAGGUAGAAUUUAUCUUUAGACUCGUUAUACAUUCUUUUUUGUAAAUCUUUUUCUGACUGCCUAAUUCUUAUUAGUCCUGCCCAAUGUUCCCUGAUCCCCAGUUCUAUUAAUCCAUCCCCACCUGUGUUCAAUUCAAGCAGCCCAUUCCCUUGGUGUGGCUGUCUUUGC